UCAGAGUUUAGUUUUAGGCCUAAUUAUAAUCGGUCGGUGCUCUUCUCAACUAAAAAUAUUUGCGUUGCAGACUUUUGACUGAAAUUAUUUUUCCCUCAGCAAGGGCUAAUGUGCUAAUGUAGAGUGGUAAGCAUGGAGGAAAUGAAUAAAGGGCUUGUAUGUUAUGGGCCUAAUUAUAAUCGGUCGGUGCUCUUCUCAACUAAAAAUAUUGUAAUCAUUCUGUAAAAUAAAAUUAAAUUAUAUACUAUA